GUCCACGCCCUAAACGAUGCGAACUGGAUGUUGGGAGCAAUUAGGCUCUCAGUAUCGAAGCUAACGCGUUAAGUUCGCCGCCUGGGGAGUACGGUCGCAAGACUGAAACUCAAAAGGAAUUGACGGGGGCCCGCACAAGCGGUGGAGUAUGUGGUUUAAUUCGAUGCAACGCGAAGAACCUUACCUGGCCUUGACAUCCACGGAACUUACCAGAGAUGGUUUGGUGCCUUCGGGAACCGUGAGACAGGUGCUGCAUGGCUGUCGU
rnacentral:rRNA from 1 species